AGGGCGGCCAUUGCAACCGAUUGGUCCAAGUUUCGGAUCUCCAAUGCGGCGGUGUUAAAUCGGUUGACAUAGGUUCAGAUGGAUUCUCCCUCCUUUUGCUUGAUGUUGAUAAGGAACUUCGAACCUCUCUGGAGACACCGGCUGCUAACAAAAUGAGCCGCAAACUGAUGGCUCAUCUGAUCAAAAGAGAAGUAGUACCCGAUUUUAGCAUCGAGUA
rnacentral:lncRNA from 1 species